ACAUGUGUUCUUGGAAAAUGGUGCAUAACUCGAAUUCGCAUAAAGGGAACUCACUUUACAAUCGAACAAAUAGAGAUACAUUCCAAAACUUUGACUGUACUCACCCCGAGACUCAUUUCUACCACUUUUACAGGACAAUUUUGGUACUCAGUGACAGCAGACAAUACACAAAAGCACAGGGUGGUGGUGAAUCUUUAGUUGCUAUGAAGAAAGGAGGUGAA